UGUUCAACUAUAUUAGUCAUGGUGGUGCAA
rnacentral:piRNA from 1 species